AGAAAAUUAAUGAGAAAGAAAGGGUGGUUCGCAUCACCUCGCAUCACUUCUUUGACAAGGUAAGCACUAACAUAUCGAUGCUGAUUUUUUCUUCUCUCCUGAUCUCUUUAGGCGCUGAUGCUAUUAUCUUCUCUCCAGAUCUCUUUAGGUGCUGAUGCUCUGUUUUUUUUCUUCUUCUCUAGACUGUAGCCACAGAAUGUUGGUCAAUAGUCAUUAGAAUCUAAGCGUUGGAUCGGACCUUUCUGGUGGACAUGCAUGUAGUACGCCGAUUAAAAGGAGGACGUCAUGAAGAAAAGUUCCGGUGACAGAAAUCUCAUGCAAAUAUCGUCAAAAAUAGUAAGGACGUCACUGGCUAAGAUUUCAGAUUUCAGCGACAGAUAUCGUCUCAGGAGUGAUCAUCUAGCACCUCUCUUGGUUUGCCGAUUAUGGCGCGAACAAGGUUACUGGAUUUGCACCAUUGCAGAUGUUGUUGUAGAAGCAUAGCAAGUGGGCGGGGAUGGUGCUAAUCCUGCUCCUUUACCCUAUCGAUACGGC
rnacentral:lncRNA from 1 species